AAGACUAUAGACCUGCGGAGUACCUGCGGAGGGAUCAUUACCGAGUUUUCAACUCCCUAACCCUUCUGUGAACCUACCUAUCGUUGCUUCGGCGGACUCGCCCCAGCCCGGACGCGGACUGGACCAGCGGCCCGCCGGGGACCUCAAACUCUUGUAUUCCAGCAUCUUCUGAAUACGCCGCAAGGCAAAACAAAUGAAUCAAAACUUUCAGCAACGGAUCUCUAGAUCGGAAGAGCACAC
rnacentral:misc_RNA from 1 species